CCCCAGAACACCAGCUGUAUAUCCAAUAUGGUUAAAACAAGGCUGUUUCAGAAGGUCUAAACACAGUGGUGGCACUGCCAACCUACCAAAACAUGUGCUUUCCUCCUAUACUAUUGAGAGGGAGCUGGUUACCACAAAGACCCUCCACGGUGGAAGGAAACAGAAAAGGCUGAACCAAGGGUAGCACCAAGAACUUAAGAAAUCAGCAGGCAAAAGACAAGCAGAGAAGAUGGCAGUCAAAUGAGGCCUCACAACCAAACUCAGUGUCAAGGGGUAAGGAAACACACUGCUGGGAUUCACGACAUGCUCUCCCAAGUAUCGCCCCAUGACUUGGAGAAACAGAGAAGCAGGAAGGUCACUCUAGCCUGUCCCGCCGCCUCCACCCCUCUUCCUCGAAGUAAGCAUGGAACCUAGAAGCAUCUCCUGAGCUGCUCUGGAAGCAGGCCGUAAAAUCCUCAAGUGAGAAGUGCCGUGCCUGCAUUCAGUGGAGAGGCACAUCCUUAUGCCUGAAGACAGCACUGCAGAGAAGAAUCUGGACAGAGAACCUGAGGCAAUGCUCCCCAGUUUAGCAAUAAUCCCUCUGUCCAUUAAUAUUUCUCCAACACUGUCCACUUCUCAUGAAAAUUAACCAAAAAGUACACAAAUGUAGCCAUUUGUUUGGGUCUUGCUUUCCUUAGGAAAGCUGCUGUGUCAUGUGAAACUAACAUUAAAGAAGUGUGCAUG